UACGUAGGGUGCGAGCGUUGUCCGGAAUUAUUGGGCGUAAAGAGCUCGUAGGCGGCCUGUCGCGUCGGAUGUGAAAGCCCGGGGCUUAACCCCGGGUCUGCAGUGGAUACGGGCAGGCUAGAGGUAGGUAGGGGAGAAUGGAAUUCCCGGUGUAGCGGUGAAAUGCGCAGAUAUCAGGAGGAACACCGGUGGCGAAGGCGGGUCUCUGGGCCGAUACUGACGCUGAGGAGCGAAGGUCAGGGGAGCAAACGGG
rnacentral:rRNA from 1 species